rnacentral:sRNA from 1 species
GUGAUGUUUGGUUGAGAUAAAUUGGUCUCCUAAAGUGCUUUGCACACCUUAACACUUCUUUUUAAUCUAAAACUGAAACAAGGUUUUGGGAGCAUUUUUGGAUGAUUAAAAUUGAAUUUUGUUGAUUUUUAACAGCCAAGUAAUUUGUAAUGUUUAUCCCAAUAUCAGUAGGAUGCAGAUUUUGUCAGUGUUCUUUUAUUACUAUUCAUUUGAUUUACACGCAUGUAUAUGAAUAGACAACCCUAUUCAAUUUUUGACAGGCACACAGAACUCGUGUUCCAAUCCUAUUUUUUCUAAUUUUUUUGUUUUAUGUAUUCAAAACCUUGCAGUAACUCGUCAAACAUUGAGUAUUCGUACUUGAAUAUGUUCUCAAACCUCAUGUCACAUAAACUUUCUAGUCCAAAUCAGUUCCCUUAUUUUUUUUUACAAAAAUGUUCUGUUUAAAACAUCAACAUUUUAUGAUUUAUAGUAUACAGAUUUUUAUAUUUUUUUUCAUUCAUGUAUUGUUUCUUAAUUCAUCUCUGACCAAUGUUGUUCUAGAGCUGUCCAAAUCUUAAUUUUUCAGACAUCUGUUCAAAACUGUUCCAUUAUUGCUACAGCAUUCAAAAUAUUAGGGAAUUGAAAACUGUGAACCUUUUGUUAUAUGAAAGAAACUUGAACAUGUAUAAAUAUUUUAUUCACAUAGGAGUUGAUCCAUUAGAUUUAAUCUUACAACAAAUUAUAGAUAGUGACGUAUAAGACGAAGAAACUGUUUUCGGUAGAAAUGACUUAACAUGUAUUAAUUGUGUGCUAAAUGGUUGGCUUUAAUUGAAGAUAUUUUUUUGUGAAAUGGGACAUGAGUAUGCGACAUCUAUGUAGUGCUUGUAAUAUGAUAUUCAAAAUGUAUAAACUAUUCUAGAUUGGUAUGAAAGAAGAAGCGUUUAGUUUUAAAAUGCUGUUAUGUGAUUAAACUUUGCAGUGUUUUUUCAGAUAGCAAUGUGAAUAUAGAGAGCAUAUAUUUAAUUAACAUGCAGUUUCCAGUGCAGUCAAAUUCUGUGUGUCAUUGAAAGUUGCUAUGCAUUGCAAAUUUUUCCUUUCCUUUUGGACGGAUUUUAAUUUCUUUAAUUAUGAAGGGGAAGAACUCUUUUGAGAAUGAGAGCGUUAGGGAUAAAAUGAAAAGACGAUGCUUUACUUCAUUUUUUUACGUACCAAAAGUGUAAAACUAAUUAUUUAUACAAAUGUUAUUUAUUUAAAAACAUCUUGCCAUAGGUAUGGAUAACCAAGAUAGCACAGGAAAGGUUAUGUCAUAUAAACUAUAGAAAUUAAUAUAUUUGUGCAUGCAGAUUUUUUUUUUCACACUAGGGUUGUCUCCCCUGACAUUCCAUGCACAGGCGCAACCAUUGUUUAAAGAAAUUUCAGAACGUGGGCCAAACAAGCUGGGUAUAUUUCUGUAUCGAUCAUUCCAAUUGUUAGUGAGAUGGGGUUAUUCAGCAAACCUACUGUUUGUACAAUUAAGAGGGAUGGGUUGUCAAUUUUAGACUGUGCUAAUAUCCUUUAAAGAAGAGAUGUGUAUAUAGAUUUAAUAAAGAUAUUCAAAGCUAAAAUAUCCAGAUCUUUCUUUUUCUAACUUACAGUUAAUUGCCAUAAAAAUCAUGCUGGAAAUUUUAAGGCAGAUCUGACAUAUUGUAAUUAAGAAUUCUUAUUUUUAUUUUCUGAAGAUAUUACAAAAACAGUUACAUUUUAUAAUGAGAUUUAAAUUAAAAAAAAUAUUACUCGCUAAAACGUCCGAGAAGUAAGUACCAACGAAAGUGAAAGGAAUACAGACAGUAGGUUAGCAUUGGUAUUCUCUGUCUGAUUACUGUGGAAUCAUUUAAAUUCGUGGGGGCCAAUUUUCGUGGAUCAUGACUUUUUUGCUCAUUUUUGGGGAUGUAAUUUCGUGGAUGCGUCGGUUACUGUUUCAGUAACACAGAUAACUCUUUAUAAAUUUUUUUUGUUGAGGAUUUAAAUUCGUGGGGGAGGGCUACCCACGAAUACCACGAAAAAUGAGCCACCACGAAUUAUAAUGAUUUCACAGUAUUGGAAGCAACGUGUUCUUUUUUUAAAAAUGUAAAUCAAAUUGUUAGAUAUGCAUCGGAGAAAAAAUCUUGUGUGGAGUAAUAUUUUUCUCUUAUCAAUUUUCUGAUUAUUUUUAAUUGUGUGGGAAGUUGAUUUAAUGCAAGAGUAUCUAUGGAAUAAAGUAAUUUAAAAUUAG